rnacentral:lncRNA from 10 species
AUUUUAAUUUAAAAAGUGGGUGGGGGAGACCAUGACAUAACAGUAGAACAAUAUUUGCCAAAGAUAAUGAUCACAGAUAUGAUUAAUUAUGAUAGUGCCUCCGCCUGUCUUUUCUGUACCCAUGAUCCACAGGACUGGAGCCAUCCCCAAGGUGAGUGUCAGGAUGUUUUGAAACUGGGACACACUGUACAGGGGUGAACAAAGGAAUCUGCUUUUCAAUACCACACUGCCUGCUGCAACCAAAUGUCACUGCAGGGCUUAACAGAAAUAUAGUCUCCCCUCAGUAUACAAGGAGGAUUGGUUCCAGGACCGUAACACCCACCCGUCACCUAAAUCCACGCAUAUUCAAGUCCCACGGUGGGCCCUGAGGAACCCGCGUACAGGAAAAGUUGGCUCUCUACAUAUGCAGGUUUUAUAUCCUGUGAAUAGGGUAUUUUUGAUCUGCCUUUGGUUGAAAAAUAUCUGUGUAUAAGUGGACCUAUGCAACUGUAAUCUCAAAUUUACAGAAAGUUACAAAAAUAAAAACAGUACAAGGAAUACUGUAUGUUCUCUAUCUGGAUUUACUGAUGUUACAUUUUAUCCUGUUUGCUUUAUCAUUUGUAUUCUCUCUCUCUCUCUCUCUCUCUCAGAUACAGGAACGUGCAUAAUUUGUUUUCUGAAUUAUACAUACAUUAUGGCCCUUUACCCCUAAAUAUUUCAAUGUGUGUAUUUCCUAAUAAGAAUAUUUUCUUACAAAACCACAGUUGUUAUCAACUUCACAGAUUUACAUCGAUGAAAUAUUUUUAUCUGGAAUCAGCCAUGUCUCCAAAGAGUUCUGGUUCCUUUUAGUGGAAAAUGGAAUUAGAGACAAAGAUCUGGGCACUAGGUUUGCUCAUUGCUGUUGACCCUGCAAUACUUCUUGAUUAAAUCAAUAUUCAAAUAGAUGAUCCUUCCAAUACAAUGGGCUCUCGAUUCCUUGUCCUCUUCUCCUUCAACAAUCUUACUGUUUACUCCAACUCAUUUAUCUUCUUCCAUGGUCACACUCUAUAAUCUUGCCAUUAUAAUGACUGAACUCUCUCUCAAAUCUGAGUUCAAGUAUGCUACUCUCAGGCUGCCAUUUCAAAUCUUUCCCUUUGAUUUUACUUAUUUUUAAUUUUAAUUUCUGUAAGUACACAGUAGGUAGAUAUAUUUAUGCUUCUCUUUGAUUUUUUUUUUUUUUUUAAAGAUAGGCUCUCUGUCACCCAAACUGGAGGACAGUGGCAUGUUCUUGGCUCACUGCAACCUUCACCUACUGGGUUCAAGUGAUUCUUGUGCCUCAGCCUCCUGGGUAGCUGGGAUUACAGUCAUGCGUCACCAUGCGUGGCUAAUUUUUGUAUUUUUAGUAGAGAUGGGGUUUUGUCAUGUUAGCUAGGCUGGUCUUGAACUCCUGGCCUCAAGUGAUCCACCUACCUCAGACUCCCAACAUGCUGGGAUUACAGGCAUGAGCCACCGCACCGGCCGUCCCUUUGAUUCUAAUUCCAAUAAUUCAGUAACCCCUUGAGACCUCCCAAAUGUACCACCUUCUCAUGCUAUCUCACAGGAGUCCCUGAUACCCACUUCUUUAUUUCCUUCCUUUCUGGAUUAGAUUACGUGAUUCAUUAAAAUCAAUUUCAGCAGUGAGUGAUAUCUUCAGCAGUGAGUGGUAUCUUGAAAGGAAAUGGGAUCCAGUGCAACUGUGGAGAUACUGGCUUUAAACUGGGGCCUGGAGAGUUCAUUAGUUUUCAGAGAGCAAGCGGGGCAGGGUAUUAAGAAUACAUAUAUUCAUGGUCACUUAGGAAAAUUCUAGUCCUGGGUGAAACCAAGUCAAUGCCUGAGUGUGAGAAGCUGAAUGAGCUUCUCACUGGUUGGACUUUAAAUCUAUGAUCACUAAACCAAGGUGGGUUCUUGGCGUUGCCUGUCAAUACUGUUAAAUAUCCCAUUCAUGCUCCUAAGCCCCUAGGAGAUUGUUCCUCACCUUCUCCUCAUUUCUCUAAUCUCCGACACCUCCUUCCCUCCUCCUUAUUCUCAGUUGAUGACUUUGCUGUAUAUUUCCC